GACGAACGCUGGCGGCGUGCUUAACACAUGCAAGUCGAACGGAAAGGCCCUGCUUGCAGGGUCCUCGAGUGGCGAACGGGUGAGUAACACGUGGGUGAUCUGCCCUGCACUUCGGGAUAAGCCUGGGAAACUGGGUCUAAUACCGGAUAGGAGCCAUUUUUAGUGUGAUGGUUGGAAAGUUUUUUCGGUGUAGGAUGAGCUCGCGGCCUAUCAGCUUGUUGGUGGGGUAAUGGCCUACCAAGGCGGCGACGGGUAGCCGGCCGGUGAGGGUGGACGGCCACAUUGGGACUGAGAGACGGCCCAGACUCCUAAGGGAGGCAGCAGGGGGGAAUAUUGCACAAUGGGCGCAAGCCUGAUGCAGCGACGCCGCGUGGGGGAUGACCGCCUUCGGGUUGUAAACUCCUUUCGCUAGGGACGAAGCUUUUUGUGACGGUACCUAGAUAAGAAGCACCGGCUAACUACGUG
rnacentral:rRNA from 1 species